rnacentral:rRNA from 1 species
AUUGAACGCUGGCGGCAUGCCUUACACAUGCAAGUCGAACGGUAGCGCGGGGCAACCUGGCGACGAGUGGCGAACGGGUGAGUAAAGCAUCGGAACGUGCCCUGGAAUGGGGGAUAACGUAGCGAAAGUUACGCUAAUACCGCAUAUUCUGUGAGCAGGAAAGCAGGGGAUCGCAAGACCUUGCGUUCUGGGAGCGGCCGAUGUCGGAUUAGCUAGUUGGUGGGGUAAAAGCCUACCAAGGCGACGAUCCGUAGCGGGUCUGAGAGGAUGAUCCGCCACACUGGGACUGAGACACGGCCCAGACUCCUACGGGAGGCAGCAGUGGGGAAUUUUGGACAAUGGGCGGAAGCCUGAUCCAGCCAUGCCGCGUGAGUGAAGAAGGCCUUCGGUUGU